rnacentral:tRNA from 1 species
GCCUUCGUGGUGAAAUGGUCAGCACACUCGGCAUGUAUUCAAGAGGUCUGAGGUUUGAAUCCCUGCAAGGGCA